rnacentral:rRNA from 1 species
UUCCCUNGACGCNGGCGGCUCCCUAUACAUGCCAGUAGAACGCUGAAGGAGGAGCUUGCUCUUCUGGAUGAGUUGCGAACGGGUGAGUAACGCGUAGGUAACCUGCCUGGUAGUGGGGGAUAACUAUUGGAAACGAUAGCUAAUACCGCAUAAUAACAGUUGUUGCAUGACAACUGUUUGAAAGGUGCAAUUGCAUCACUACCAGAUGGACCUGCGUUGUAUUAGCUAGUUGGUGGGGUAACGGCUCACCAAGGCGACGAUACAUAGCCGACCUGAGAGGGNGAUCGGCCACACUGGGACUGAGACACGGCCCANACUCCUACGGGAGGCAGCAGUAGGGAAUCUUCGGCAAUGGACGAAAGUCUGACCGAGCAACGCCGCGUGAGUGAANAAGGUUUUCGGAUCGUAAAGCUCUGUUGUAANANAANAACGAGUGUGANAGUGGAAAGUUCACACUGUGACGGUUCUUACCAAAAAGGGACGGUUACUACNUGCCACCANCCGCGGUAAUACUUAGGUCCCAACCUUGNCCCGAUUUUUGGGCUAAANCAACCCAGCCGUUAAAAANUCUAAUUAAGCUGGCUUACCUANACCUUUNAACUUUACUUAUCAAAGGAAUNAUCUUUUAC